GGAUGCAAGGGUGAUCUGGCUGUGACAUCUGCCACUCCACUGAUUGCCAGGGUUGAUUUGGCUGAUCUGGCCGGCCAGGCAGGUGUCCCCUUCCUCCCUCACUGCUCUAUGCACCUCCCUUCCGAAGCUGUGCUCUCAGUUGAAGAAAAUGACCAUCCCCAAUAAAGGAGGACUGGUCUUCGGUCAACGGUAUAUGAGUAGCUGCGCUCUCCUGACAGAACCUCCGAACAAGCUCUCAAGAUUGGUGAAAAAGCUGCGUGCAGUGGCUCAUACCUGUAAUCCCAACACUUUGCAGGGCUGAGG
rnacentral:snRNA from 1 species